UAAUAACAUUUCUUCAUUACUAACAGUGUAAUAAAAAUCAAUUAAAUGUCACAUUACUUAUUGUAUAUACUGCAUUCAUGGUGCACAUUCAACUUUUCAAACAUUAUAAUUCGGCGCGUGUUUUCCUUUCUACCGAGUGGACCAGCGGAAAUGUCGAUAAAAAGAAAAGAAGGAGGAAAGCAAAGAAAACGGCGGCAAAAAUAUGAGAAACUCAAAUUUUCAAUUUGAAUUUUUAACACUGUGAUAAGGAUUCUGGCGUUAUAAUGUAAUAAAGCGUUAUGUUUUCAUUUUAUUUUAUUUCUUAAAAUUUCACCAUAGGCGGCUAACAUACGAGCCAGCUACAAAA